UGGAAGUAAAAGUCGUAACAAGGUCUCCGUAGGUGAACCUGCGGAGGGAUCAUUACACAAAUAUGAAGGCGGGCUGGAACCUCUCGGGGUUACAGCCUUGCUGAAUUAUUCACCCUUGUCUUUUGCGUACUUCUUGUUUCCUUGGUGGGUUCGCCCACCACUAGGACAAACAUAAACCUUUUGUAAUUGCAAUCAGCGUCAGUAACAAAUUAAUAAUUACAACUUUCAACAACGGAUCUCUUGGUUCUGGCAUCGAUGAAGAACGCAGCGAAAUGCGAUAAGUAGUGUGAAUUGCAGAAUUCAGUGAAUCAUCGAAUCUUUGAACGCACAUUGCGCCCUUUGGUAUUCCAAAGGGCAUGCCUGUUCGAGCGUCAUUUGUACCCUCAAGCUUUGCUUGGUGUUGGGCGUCUUGUCUCUAGCUUUGCUGGAGACUCGCCUUAAAGUAAUUGGCAGCCGGCCUACUGGUUUCGGAGCGCAGCACAAGUCGCACUCUCUAUCAGCAAAGGUCUAGCAUCCAUUAAGCCUUUUUUUCAACUUUUGACCUCGGAUCAGGUAGGGAUACCCGCUGAACUUAAGCAUAUCAAUAAAGCGGAGGA
rnacentral:misc_RNA from 1 species